UCGUCAGGUGGGUUAAUCCUUACCUGUUCCUCCUUCGGGAGGGAUAGAACAUGAUGAUUGGAGUUCGCAUGAUGCGUGAUUAGCGUCUCUGCGUAAUCAGGACUUGCAACACCCUGAUUGCUCCUAUCUGAU
rnacentral:snoRNA from 13 species